rnacentral:rRNA from 1 species
UACGUAGGGGGCAAGCGUUGUCCGGAGUUACUGGGCGUAAAGCGCCCGCAGGCGGUCUUCUAAGUUCAGACUGACAAUCCCCAGCUUAACUGGGGAGGGUGUAUGAACACUGGGAGACUUGAGGCAUAGAGAGGGACAGGGAAUUCCGGGUGGAGUGGUGAAAUGCGUAGAUAUCCGGAGGAACACCAAAGGCGAAGGCACUGUCCUGGCUAUGACCUGACGCUCAGGGGCGAAAGCUAGGGGAGCGAACGGG